GACAAAGUACACCAUCGUCUCCUGCCUUCAUGUCCUCCUAUCAUAUGCUCCUCCUCCUCCUUCCUCCCUUCUCUCCGCUCUUCUUCCCAAACCCUCUCUCUUCCUUCCAGCUCUUCAAUUCCUCCCUGCAACCCACAAACUCCAUAAAAUAGUGCUCCAAUCCGCGAGCUCGCCUCUCUCCUGCACCCACCUGACACGCAUAUGCGUCAUACCCGGAAGAAAAAUCAGUUCUUGGCAACCUAGCUACUUGCUAGACUGGUAGCUAGCUACUAGCUAGAGUGUUUCCGUAACACGGC
rnacentral:lncRNA from 1 species